GAUUAUGGCUCAGGAUGAACGCUAGCUACAGGCUUAACACAUGCAAGUCGAGGGGUAGCAGGAUCUAGCAAUAGAUUGCUGACGACCGGCGCACGGGUGAGUAACACGUAUCCAACCUUCCGUUUACUCGGGGAUAGCCUUUCGAAAGAAAGAUUAAUACCCGAUAGUAUGCUUUUCCCGCAUGGGAGAAUCAUUAAAGUUUUUCGGUAAUCGAUGGGGAUGCGUUCCAUUAGGCAGUUGGUGAGGUAACGGCUCACCAAACCUUCGAUGGAUAGGGGUUCUGAGAGGAAGGUCCCCCACAUUGGAACUGAGACACGGUCCAAACUCCUACGGGAGGCAGCAGUGAGGAAUAUUGGUCAAUGGACGAGAGUCUGAACCAGCCAAGUAGCCGUGAAGGAUGACUGCCCUAUGGGUUGUAAACUUCUUUUAUAUGGGAAUAAAGGAGCCUACGUGUAGGUUUUUGUAUGUACCAUACGAAUAAGGAUCGGCUAACUCCGUGCCAGCCGCGGC
rnacentral:rRNA from 1 species